rnacentral:rRNA from 1 species
GUACACUCCUACGGGAGGCAGCAGUGGGGAAUUUUGGACAAUGGGCGAAAGCCUGAUCCAGCAAUGCCGCGUGAGUGAAGAAGGCCUUCGGGUUGUAAAGCUCUUUUGUCAGGGAAGAAACGGUGAGAGCUAAUAUCUCUUGCUAAUGACGGUACCUGAAGAAUAAGCACCGGCUAACUACGUGCCAGCAGCCGCGGUAAUACGUAGGGUGCAAGCGUUAAUCGGAAUUACUGGGCGUAAAGCGUGCGCAGGCGGUUUUGUAAGUCUGAUGUGAAAUCCCCGGGCUCAACCUGGGAAUUGCAUUGGAGACUGCAAGGCUAGAAUCUGGCAGAGGGGGGUAGAAUUCCACGUGUAGCAGUGAAAUGCGUAGAUAUGUGGAGGAACACCGAUGGCGAAGGCAGCCCCCUGGGUCAAGAUUGACGCUCAUGCACGAAAGCGUGGGGAGCAAACAGGAUUAGAAACCCCUGUAGUCC